UACUGCUGUUUGUUCCUUCUGUGAGCGCUCCCAUAUCAGCAAUGGCCUCGUGUGUCCCUGAGUCUGAGGUCAGCGUUCGAAUAGCUGUUGCCAUCUUGCAAACUGGCAGGCCAUGAGCCUGGGCUCUUGGGUCUCGGGCCACAGGCCUCCAGGUUCUGCAAAGGGAGCAGGACUGACUCUCACCCACCACCAUCAGAACACCCGUGCCUUCCGGGGACAGAGGUUCAGGCUUCAAGCCCGUACCUCUCUGUGACCACUGGGUGUCAGCACUGAUCUGUGCUUGAUGACUGAAGCGCUUGGGUGGGCAGAGCCUGCUGCACCAGGGUUUCCAGUAGACCUAAGAGGAGCCUGACCACAGGACGUAAAGAAUCUCCUUUGCCACCAGCUUCAACUGAUGUGGACACCAAGCAACCAGGGCUGGACUCUCAGGCACUGUGGCCCAAGACGAGCUGCCAGGAUCCCCUGCCUUUCCUCCUGUCAUCUGGAAGGGCAGCUGAAGAGCUCGCCCACACUGAAGCAAACUGGAAGGCCGACAUUUGAAAGACCUGUGUGCUCUACGUCCCAUUCUGCCGCGGUUCCCUGGCACAGUGGUGAAGAGGCUGCCCUGCGCUUGACCUGGUCAUGUCCUCAGUGCUACCCUUGCUGCUGAACAGACACACUCAGAAGUGUGCAGUGACCUGUGGUAACAGGUAUCACCCUACAAUAGCUGUAACCCUGCACAUUCCCAGUCGGAGUCUGUUGACCCUCCGUGGUGUUCUCAGAUCCUCCUAGUCGUUUUCAGCCUAUGCUGCGCUGUUUCUUGCUUGAAGGCAGGAAUGAAGCUCCAGGGUCUGGGAUUCCUGGUGUCGGAUACAGAAAGCCAGUGCAUGUUUUGAGGGUGUAUCUGUCUUCUCUCUGUCUUUUUUUUUUUUUUUUUUUUUGAGGACUUUUGUUGAACAGUUAAGCUGUAUUUACCAGGGGUGGGAAGACGGUGAGUAAAAUCCCUUCUAUCUGAGCAUGAAGAUCUGAGUUUGGAUUCCAUCACUGAUAGAAAAGCUGAGUGUAAAGUUGGUUGGCUUUAAUCCCAGCACUCGGUGGUAGAGACAGGCUGAUCUCUGAGUGUGAGGCCAGCCUGCUCUGGUGCUGAGGGACUGGAAAUGGAAGCCUCUUGGGAGCUCAGUGCUCAUCUUGUGGCACCAAUCAGUGAGCUCUGGGUUCAGUGUGAGACUCUUCCCCCAAAAGGAUAAGAUGAAGAACAAUAGCAGAAGAUGUCUGGUAUCACCUCUGCCUGCACAUACAUGUGCACACAUGUGGGUGGUACCUAUACAUACAUGCACAUGUGAGCACUGUAACACACACGCACACACGUGAACGGGCACAGGCACAGGCAUAGCUCCAGGUCCUGAAGCCCCCUGACUGUUGGAUGCCAAGCACUCUGUGGCUCAAGGCUGGGUGAGCGCCGGAGCUUAGUGAUGGCAGCCCUCUUGCUGUGCAUGCUUAUCUCGUCUCACCGAGAAACCGAGUGUUCCGGAGGAAACCGUGUCAAGCAGACAGUCUCUUCCUUACGAGAGGCCACACAGGAUACUCUUGCCUACAGAUAUUUCCUUUUCAAACACUCCACAACGACAGAAUUCCCUGACACAGUCAGUUUCCCUUUCUAUUAUAAGUCAGAUUUUGGAAAAGGGCCUGACAUUUCAGCUUUCUUGGGACUUCAACUUUAUUUUCAGAAAGAAAGAAAGAAAGAAAGAAAGAAAGAAGAAAGAAAGAAGAAAGAAAGA